AUUGAACGCUGGCGGCAGGCCUAACACAUGCAAGUCGAGCGGAUGACGGGAGCUUGCUCCUUGAUUCAGCGGCGGACGGGUGAGUAAUGCCUAGGAAUCUGCCUGGUAGUGGGGGACAACGUGUCGAAAGGAACGCUAAUACCGCAUACCUACUACGGGAGAAAGCAGGGGACCUUCUGCCCUUGCGCUAUCAGCUGAGCCUAGGUCGGAUUAGCUAGUUGGUGGGGUAAUGGCUCACCAAGGCGACGAUCCGUAACUGGACUGAGAGGAUGAUCAGUCACACUGGAACUGAGACACGGUCCAGACUUCUACGGGAGGCAGCAGUGGGGAAUAUUGGACAAUGGGCGAAAGCCUGAUCCAGCCAUGCCGCGUGUGUGAAGAAGGUCUUCGGAUUGUAAAGCACUUUAAGUUGGGAGGAAGGGCAGUAAGUUAAUACCUUGCUGUUUUGACGUUACCGACAGAAUAAGCACCGGCUAACUCUGUGCCAGCAGCCGCGGUAA
rnacentral:rRNA from 1 species